UACGGAGGGUCCAAGCGUUAUCCGGAAUCAUUGGGUUUAAAGGGUCCGUAGGCGGGAUAAUAAGUCAGUGGUGAAAGUCUGCAGCUCAACUGUAGAAUUGCCAUUGAUACUGUUGUUCUUGAAUUAUUAUGAAGUGGUUGGAAUGAGUAGUGUAGCGGUGAAAUGCAUAGAUAUUACUCAGAACACCUAUUGCGAAGGCAGAUCACUAAUAAUAUAUUGACGCUGAGGGACGAAAGCGUAGGUAGCGAAC
rnacentral:rRNA from 1 species